GUUGGGUCUGCUGCCCAAAGGCGCUACAAUGAGUCCCCAUUCCAGGGAUUUUUCUUUGCAAAUUAGAUUACUGUUCCCAACACAAGUUCGGGGUUUUUCUUGUCGCCUUCAAGGCUGGAAGCGGGACGGGCAGCCGGGGAGGGGAGGCAGCCGCAGCCCCGCCGCUCGGAGGAGCCGAGCGCGGUCGUCUCGUCGCCUGCCCGGUGCCACGGCCCAAAGGGUGACAGCAAGGACGGUGCGCAGGGCUCCGGCCUGUGUCUCUCCAGAGAAAGGACUUUCCAGAGAAACAAAUCAAGAAAAAAUAACUGACUUAAUUUCCCUCCACCCAGCAACAGUUCUUCAUAGCUGUACACAGGGACCAUGGAGCAGCAAGAAGGGUUGUGUGGGACAGAGGCUCCUCGGGUGCUCCCACUGGCAGUAAGUAUCCAGCCCCAAACUGGAACACACCAGAAGUUUACAACCAUGUGAACUCUGGAGAAAAAUCUUAAUAACUCUUGCAUCCAGCCCUCUUCUGUGCUGUGUUUAAUUUGCUCUUUCUCUUUUUCCGAUCCAUUGCUGUGUGUUUCUUCCAUCUCUCCUACCUUUUCUUCUCUUUUUUGCUGUUCCAGUAUUUUCACCACAUCCUUCCCUCUUCUGCAAUGUCCUGAUUUUGGCUGGGAUAAUUUUCUUCCUAGUAGCUGGUACGUUGCUGUGUUUUGAAUUUAGGGUGAGAAGGCUGUGGAUAGCACACUGUUUCAGUUGCUGCUGAGCAGUGCCUGGACUAAGUUGAGGACUUUUCAGCUCCGCUCCCCAGCCCACCAACAAGUCUGGGAAGCACAAGAAGCUGGGAGAAGACACAGCAGGGACAGCUGAUCCCAACUGGCCAAAGGGAUAUCCUGUAUCAUAUGACACAUGGUCAGUAUGUAAAUUAGGGGGAAGCUGGCCAGGGGCCACUGCUUGGGAACUGGCUGGACACUGGUCAGGGGAUGGUGGGAAAUUGCAUCGGGCAUCACUUCUUUUGUAUGUUCCUUUUUACUUGUACUAUUACUUUGCAUCCUUUUCUGUUCUAUUAAACUGUCUAUAUCUAAACCCAUGGAUUGUACUGUUGUUCCCAAUUCCCUCCCCCAGCCCGUUGCAGUCCAUGAGCAGCUCUGUGGUGCUCAGCUGCCUGCCGGGUUAAACCACGACAGUGUUUACCUACCUUGGGCUGGGCCUCUCCCGCAGCCUCUGCCAGGCCGCUGGUUCCUGCUGCACUA
ensembl:lncRNA